AUUGAACGCUGGCGGCAGGCCUAACACAUGCAAGUCGAACGAGUGGCGGACGGGUGAGUAAUGUCUGGGAAACUGCCCGAUGGAGGGGGAUAACUACUGGAAACGGUAGCUAAUACCGCAUACCAUCGGAUGUGCCCAUAUGGGAUUAGCUAGUGGGUGGGGUAACGGCUCACCUAGGCGACGAUCCCUAGCUGGUCUGAGAGGAUGACCCGCCACACGGGAACUGAGACACGGUCCAGACGCGUACGGGAGGCGGCAGUGGGGAAUAUUGCACAGUGGGCGCAAGCCUGAUGCAGCCAUGCGGCGUGUAUGUAGAGGGCCUUCGGGUUGUAAAGUACUGUCAGCGAGGAGGCGUUACUCGCAGAAGAAGCACCGGCUAACUCCGUGCCAGCAGCCGCGGUAAUAC
rnacentral:rRNA from 1 species